UACUGCGUGAAUGUAGCACUACUACUAA
rnacentral:sRNA from 1 species